UACGAAGGGGGGCUAGCGUUGCUCGGAAUUACUGGGCGUAAAGCGCACGUAGGCGGCUUUCUAAGUCGGGGGGUGAAAAGCCUGUGGCUCAACCACAGAAUUGCCUUCGAUACUGGAAAUCUAGAGACCGGAAGAGGUAAGUGGAACUGCGAGUGUAGAGGUGAAAUUCGUAGAUAUUCGCAAGAACACCAGUGGCGAAGGCGGCUCACUGGUCCGGUACUGACGCUGAGGUGCGAAAGCGUGGGGAGCAAACAGG
rnacentral:rRNA from 1 species